rnacentral:snRNA from 1 species
GGAAAUGAGGGCAAUCUAGCUGCAAUGUCUGUUAGCAGAUUGCUCACUAGACCAAUCUGACUGGCUCUCCCCUCCCCUCUACACUCCAUGUGUUCCCUUCUGAAACUACAUGUUCAAUCAAGAAGGACAACUUUCCUUAAAUAGAGGUGGAUUAUUUGGGGCCAGGU